rnacentral:rRNA from 1 species
GAUGAACGCUAGCGGCAGGCUUAAUACAUGCAAGUCGUGGGGCAGCAUGGUGUAGCAAUACACUGAUGGCGACCGGCAAACGGGUGCGGAACACGUACGCAACCUUCCUUUAACUGGAGAAUAGCCCGGGGAAACCCGGAUUAAUACUCCGUAACAUUAUGAAGUGGCAUCACUUUAUAAUUAUAGCUCCGGCGGUUGAAGAUGGGCGUGCGUCUGAUUAGGUAGUUGGCGGGGUAACGGCCCACCAAGCCUACGAUCAGUAACUGGUGUGAGAGCACGACCAGUCACACGGGCACUGAGACACGGGCCCGACUCCUACGGGAGGCAGCAGUAAGGAAUAUUGGUCAAUGGACGCAAGUCUGAACCAGCCAUGCCGCGUGGAGGAUGAAGGUCCUCUGGAUUGUAAACUUCUUUUAUUUGGGAAGAAACCCCCGAUUUCUAUUGGGGUUGACGGUACCAGAUGAAUAAGCACCGGCUAACUCCGUGCCAGCAGCCGCGGUAAUACGGAGGGUGCAAGCGUUAUCCGGAUUCACUGGGUUUAAAGGGUGCGUAGGCGGGUUGGUAAGUCCGUGGUGAAAUCUCCAAGCUUAACUUGGAAACUGCCGUGGAUACUAUCA